GAGCCCGUAGCUCAGGGGUAGAGCAUCUGCCUUUUAAGCAGAGGGCCGUUGGUUCAAUUCCAACCGGGCUCA
rnacentral:tRNA from 1 species